UGAGACGCUGGCCCGGAGCGGGAAACGGCGGUUUGAGAGCGCGAUGGCGCAGCUCUAGCACGAGAUAGAUCAUGACAGCACCAUGGUUGCUGUUGGCUCUAGCAAGGCCUGGCCCCAUCUUGGCUGUCCCUCUGGGUGGAAGGGUCUGCACAUCUGAAUCAGUUUGGAAGAACAAUGAAGGCACGGAUGGCAUAACUGGCGGUAUGAAUGCUGGCGUUGUGUUUUGUCGUCCUGCCUGCCUUGGGAAAACUGAGAGAGCUUCGCUUUGUACUGACUCGCUCUUCCAUCGGCUAAUGCCCAGCGACAAUGUGCGUACAAGGAAACGGGGAAGGAAAGGGAGAACAAGUUGCUGGUGGCUGUCCUCAAAAUAAAGCAAUAAUGGUGGUUGUGGUGGGUGUUUACAGUAAGCAAAGAUUAUUUUAUCUUCAGCUAGUAGGUGACUUCUGUGUUGGCAGACCCAAGGUAUCAGCUAUUUCCUUAAACUACGGCCAGAUAUCGAUGCUACUUUUGAUAGAAACCAGACACGCACGAAAGGAAGAAGAUCCAGCUCUGAUUGCCUCUGGUUGUAUCCGUCUAAUUCUGAGCAACGCUACUGACUCACAGGUCUGCUGGCUAUUUUUAGAGGUGUGAUACAAAUGUGAUCCUAGAUCUGCGAAACAGAUGACAAAAUCCCGUUGCUCAAGUGCGAAGCGUACUCUUCCAAAGAUAAGGCUGAGCGAGGUUUGGGGAAAUCCAUCGACAGCUGCUCCGGAGUCAGGCGGAGCACCAGGCUAUGGUGCGCGCUAGAAUAA